ensembl:lncRNA
CCUCUUUCUCUGGUUAAACCUGCAUAAGUCUCAACUCUAAUACUUUAAGCAAGUCUGACAGUUGAUAAACUUCACCUUGACUCAUAAUCAUCCUCUCAGUCUCUCUCCUUCACAAACUCACAGAUCACUCAAUGUUCCAAGAUUCAUGUAAAAAGAAGUCUUUUGUUCUAAUCACUGAGAACUUCCGGAGAAAAGAAGAAAGGGUCUUGCUUUGUCACCCAGGCUGGAGUGCAAUGGUACGAUCAUGGCUCAUGGCAGCCUCAACCUCUCAAGCUCAAGUGAUCCUCCUGCCUCAGCCUUCCAAAGUGCUGGGAUUAUAGGCAUGAGCCACCACACCCAGCCUGAAGUAUGGGAUCUUGGGCAAGUUAUUUAAUGUUUUUAAAGGUUCCCUUUCUUCACUUGCAAACUGGGGUAAAGAUAGUGUCUAUCUCAUGGGAAUGCUGUGAAGAUUAAAUGAGAUAGGGCAAUGGGUCUCAAACUUGACUGUACAUUAGAAUCACCAUAGAAGUCUCGAAAGUCCAACUGCCAGGGAGCACCCAGACCAGUUAAAGAAAAAUUUCAGGUGUGGGAGUCAGCCAUUAAUAUUUUAAAAAUCUCUGUGGAUCGUUCCAAUGUUCAGCUAUAUAUGAGAGAGAGUGAGAUGAUACUAAUAAUAAGCGCUCAAUGAGUAGUUGUAUCUUUUAUUAAUAUAAUUAAAAAUUGAGUGAGAGUCUCCCAAAUUUGAUAGACUGCUGAAAUUGAGGGCUUACAGGGAUCCAGAUUCAUUUCUUCUUAAAUUCAUCUAUCCAACAAUGACAGAGCAUUUACUGUGUGCUAGGAUCUGUGCCGAAUUUCCUCUCUCCAACUGAUAGUAAAAAGAUCAUACUGCCUUCAAGAUGAAAUUCAAGUUCUUUAGGAUGACCUGUCCUCCCCAUCCCUUCACACCCUAUUGGCUGUCAGUGCCAUGGCCUAUAUGCUGGCCUCACUCUGGUGGAAGACUGCUCAUGCUCAAGCAGGCUUCCUUUCCUUCAUCUUGCUUACGAGGCUCUAGUGUUCCAGGACCCCGUGGAGCUAUUCCCCAGGGCCCCUCAAAGGGAGAGAACCCUUCCUCUUGAACCAUUCAGAGGAGCAGGGCAGCUCAGAGUCAUUACUUGGAACAGCUGGAGAAGCUAGAGGCUGGAUCUUCUGUGGCCACCACAUGAAAUCCCAUGAGGUUGGCAGCCUUGGGGGAAUAACAUGACUUUAUGACCAUGGGAAUAACAUGACUGAAGACUGUUUUGUUAUCUCAGAGGAGAAACACCUCUAACAGCUCUGUACUGCAGCCACCUAAUGGGUGAGGGGCUGUGGUGGCUGCCACAACUGUGGCAAAUUCUGCUGAAGUAAAGACUUCCAUCAGGAAUCUUCUCACCCCUUCCUGGCUUUGAGCUGACCUCCAAAGUGGCCCUGCUGAGAAGGUUCUAGUCCUUUCUCUCCAUCUCCAGCUCCGUCAGGAGGUGCCCCCAGUGUGUAGAUUUGUAUGUCCUCUUAUUGAGCCUUCAGAGCUCUUUCUGUAGGGGCUGGCUAGGAAGACUUUACUCGAUGUUUCCAGUACACACCCACAAUUCCGCCCACCCAUGAUUCUGGCGCUUCCAACACCACUGGGUGAAGUCAUCAACUUUUCAGCCGGGCACAGGGUGAUGCCUGCCUUCUGGCUUGUUCUUCAGGGAUCUGAUGCCUACAUGCUACCUUCCUGGGUGCCAUUGGAGCUCUGAAGUUUUACCAGUUCCCCUUUCUGACAGAAGUGCCUGGGACGAAAAUCAAGAGACCUGGUGCCUGAUUCUUCAGCCCAAGCCAGUAAGCAGGACACAGCGGAGCACUCGUGCCCUCGUCAGAAGAGUAUUCAUGCCGAAUGAGCUCCGAGGAGUGCUGGAGGAAUUACUCUGUGAUUGCUUGCCAGCUUCCCCCUGUACUGGGAUCUGAGAGGAGGCAAGAUAAGCCUCCCUGUAAAAUCCUCACACCUGCUUAGACUCUGCCUCAUGCUGGCUACGCUGCCACUUUCCCCAUCUUUCCCCCACACUAGACAACAUUAAUCCAUGAUGAUAGCUAUUCCAGCAGAGCCAGAAUCUGGUGUCAGAGUCUUUUUCAAGAUAGCUCUGUAGGCAGCCACUUUGGAUCAUCCAGUCAGCAUGAGAGCGGAGACUUGUUUGCAGUCCUGCUUCCGAGUGAAUUUGUGUAAAAGUAAUUCUAAAAUCAAUGUCCAGAGAAUAGGGUUAAGAGGACAUUGGGGAAGGAACGGGCAGAGGCAGGGCUACUGGAGAACAUAGCUAUUAUUUAGGUGGGGCUGCCUCAUGGCAGCCCAGGUAUAACAUGCCAGCCUUCAGAUAGGCAUGGUGAUCUCUUCCCAUUGUAUUUCCCCACUGUGUGUGUGUGUGUGACUGUGUAUCCAAGACCCAAGAUAAAUGGCUGGAGCUGUGGGUUCAGUUUGCAACCACGGAGCAAGAGGGAUCUCCCUGAUGGAGAUCAAACUGAUGUCCUUGAUUGCCCUAGUGUGGUUUUCAACCAGCUAAGCUAGCUUGUGACCAGCAGAGAAAAAUAAGGGCUCAUUGUUCAAAGUGUGGUCUGUGGCCAGCUUGUUGGCCUCCUCUGGGAAUGCGUUAGAAAUGCAGAAUCUCAAGCCUCGUUCCAGAGCUACUGAAAUAGUGAUUCAGAGGCCACGUGCGGUGGCUCACACCUGUAAUUCCAGCACUUUGGGAGGCCGAGGUAGGAGGAUUGCUUGAGGGCAGGAAUAUGAGACCAACCUGGGCAACAUUUCAAGAUCCCAUCUCUUUAAAAAGCCAGGCACGGUGGUUGAUAUGGUUAGGCUUUGUGUCCCCACCUAAAUCUCAUCUUGAAUUAUAAUCCCCAUAAUCCCCACGUGUUAAGGGAGAGACCAGGUGGAGGUAAUUGAAUCAUGGAAGCAGUUUCCCCCAUGCUGUUCUCGUGCUAGUGAGUGAGUGCUCACAAGAUCUGAUGGUUUUAUAAGGGGCUCUUCCCCCUUUGCUUGGCAUUUCUCCUUCCUGCCACCUUGUGAAGGUGGGUGCCUUGCUUUUCUCUUUGCCUUCCACCAUGAUUGUAAGUUUCCUGAGGCCUGCUCAGCCACGCUGAACUGUGAGUCAAUUAAACCUCUUUCCUUUAUAAAUUA